GCCCACCAAGGCGACGAUCAGUAGCCGACCUGAGAGGGUGACCGGCCACAUUGGGACUGAGACACGGCCCAAACUCCUACGGGAGGCAGCAGUGGGGAAUAUUGCACAAUGGGGGAAACCCUGAUGCAGCGACGCCGCGUGAGCGAUGAAGGCCUUCGGGUCGUAAAGCUCUGUCAGCAGGGAAGAAGAUGACGGUACCUGAGUAAGAAGCCCCGGCUAACUAC
rnacentral:rRNA from 1 species